CCAGGAGUCUAUACCAAGCGGGGGAACAGAUAUACACCUGAUUUAUACCUGAUUUCCUAAAGGUUUAAGUGUGAAAACCAUUUGAGACUAUAUAUACUAAUUUACUUGAUAGAGUCUGUUGAUUGAGAAUAAAAAUGACAGUAGCCUUUGAUGAAUAUAUAAGGAUUUGUGUCAAAAUGCACCAAAAAAAUAGGAAGGAGAAAUGCAAAUCUUGUAGAUAAAGGCAGUUCUGGCCAUGAGAUCAUCAAAUGUAAAGCUUCUGUUUAUACUUCUUAUGCACUGAAUUAUAAUUUUUAUUGCACAUCCUAAACAAACAUACUAGCCAUCUAUUUUUGUACACACAUAGUUUUUGACUCUUUUACUAUGGUAAAUCAGGUUCAAAGUGUUUCUCUUUCCGUUCUGUAAUCAGGGAAUUGUAUCAACUUUUCUGAUUGGAAUAAUGACCAAAAUAUUGUUUUAAAAUACCUCUUAAGUAUAACUAAGCUGUACUUUGUUCUUAUUUAUUUUGAAAGAAAAGAUAUAAGGUUACUGUCUUUUUAAAUCAAAAUAAGCCAAUAUAUGAUUUCAGUGGGGGAUCUUGUUGCAUCAUUUGGCCGGUGCUGCAGUUAGUGAUCCUAUUGAUUACAGCAGAAUAUGUGCUGUGUAAAGGUCAACGAGGCCAAUAAACAGGAGUCUUAUUUCUUUAUGUACAGAAUGCUUUAAAAAAAAAAAAAAAAACGGUAAAGAAGACCCACAUAAUAUCAUGUCCUUAGGAAGAUGAGAGAAAAGAGAGUGUUAUCUGUAGUGUAAGUAAUUCAAUGGGAAGAUGAAUGUGAGGAGAUACUGAGGGAUAUUUGAGCCUGACAGAAGCCCUCCUCACCUGAGGGAGAUGUCCCUUCCAGAAAAUUAAAGAAAUCAUAGCUAAGUUAAUUCCGUAUGCAGUGCCAAUGCCUGGCUAAGUGCUGUUGCAGUAAGCAAUUUCCCACGUUGUGUACAGGAGCCGAGCAUACCCUUCCUUCAGGGCUGUAAUAUACAGAUAGGGCAGGCAUCACUGAAGAAUCCAUUAUAGCGUACAGCAGCCUUUUCUACAUCAAUUUAUCCAUUUAACUCUUGAAAAUGGAGAACCACCCUCACCACUGCACUGGCCACUGCUGCCUUCUGGCCCCAAAUCAAGGUGUGGGCAAGAUGUAGGGGUAGAAUCGCAUUCUGUGGAGAGCCUGUCUUUGAAAAAAGACUAUUAGUCAGCCUCGAUAUAUAAACUCUACUUUGCUCCCCGGCUUCUCAUCUGAGCUCUCUAGAAUCUAAAGAGUAAAACUCGGCCAAAAAAAGCCUCGAGUCAUGUCUGAUUGACUGCAUGCAUUUUGCCUCCAUAACACGUACAUGCACCUCCCUGUUACUCACUGGGCAAACGUAUUUAAGCAAAUACGCUGAGGAAAGACGCUGGACGGCUUAAAGAACUGUGAAGAGCAAGUUUUACAGUAUGAUAGAAUGCACCAAAGAGCUUGGAGAGUGGGAGGGGGAAAUGGAAAUAUGAAAAAAAAUAAUAUAUUAUUUCAAGAGAAAAUAUUCAAAAUGUUCUUACUCUAUGAACUGUGUUUAAACUUGGCAUCUUUUAAGUCCCACUCCAACUGUUCUCAGUGGUCUGUUAAUUACGAUUAUGCCAUUGUUGUUUUCUACGACAUAGUUUCAGUAGAGUAGCAGCAGUUCAUCAGAAAUUCGCCUCUGAGUUGUGGGCGGUAUUGUUAGGGAGGAAGUAACCCUCAGCUGAUAUCCCAUUAUCUCCCGCUAGCUUAAGGCCCCUUUCAACUCCAAACUAACAGAAGCGGUGCAAGAAAAAUGGAAAGCCAUAUUGGAGCCAUCAAGCUGUACAGUUUUGAGCCACAUAUGAAGUUAGACGAGGAAAAUGAAGAUGUUAACGGAUCCAUUUGUCUGGAGUGGAUGCAUCAAACUGUGCAUCCACACACGGCCCCAUCCCUCCUCCUAUCAGAUGUGAACUCACCUGACGGGGUUAUGUGUCUCCAGGAAAUGGUUGGCUGAGGCUUCCCGCUGGCUGUGCAGAUGAGAGACACGUUGCUGCCCUCGUUAACUGUGAUGUCAGACGAAAUGUCAUAUAUCUUGGGAGGAACUACAGGAGCCAAAAGAAGGGAAACACAACAGGAUUAGUUUUUUUUGUGUGUGUUUUUUAAUACCACAGCUCUACAUUUGUGCAGCUUGUAUAUCGGUUUGCCUCAGAGACAAUGAAGCUCCAGUUAAUUUGUUUACUGUGAAAAAUGACCCAUAGUUCAGUCUUUGAUCAAAACAUGCAUAAAAAGAGCAAAUGCUCUGACACUUGACUGUGUAGAAAAGAAAAAAAAAAAAAAAA